AACGCACGAGACCUGCGGACCUGCGGAGGGAUCAAUUUGGGUGAUGGGGGAGUUGGGGGUUUGAGGGGGUUUUUACCCCCUCUCCUCUGAGAUCUCUACGUUUACGCUUGUUUGUUUGACAGAGUAGAAGAGUAUCUAAAAUCUACACAACUUUUAACAACGGAUCUCU
rnacentral:misc_RNA from 1 species